GGGAAUAUAGCUCAGUUGGCAGAGUGUGUACUUUGCAUGUACAAGGCCCUGGGUUCAAUCCCCAGCGCACACA
rnacentral:tRNA from 1 species